rnacentral:rRNA from 1 species
UACGUAGGGUGCGAGCGUUAAUCGGAAUUACUGGGCGUAAAGCGUGCGCAGGCGGUUUUGUAAGCCAGGUGUGAAAUCCCCGGGCUCAACCUGGGAAUGGCAUUUGGGACUGCAAGGCUGGAGUGCGGCAGAGGGGGGGAUGAAUUCCGCGUGUAGCAGUGAAAUGCGUAGAUAUGCGGAGGAACACCGAUGGCGAAGGCAAUCCCCUGGGCCUGCACUGACGCUCAUGCACGAAAGCGUGGGAGCAAACAGG